CGCGGGCUAUACAUGCAAGUCGAGCGGACAGAAGGGAGCUUGCUCCCGGAUGUUAGCGGCGGACGGGUGAGUAACACGUGGGUAACCUGCCUGUAAGACUGGGAUAACUCCGGGAAACCGGAGCUAAUACCGGAUAGUUCCUUGAACCGCAUGGUUCAAGGAUGAAAGACGGUUUCGGCUGUCACUUACAGAUGGACCCGCGGCGCAUUAGCUAGUUGGUGGGGUAAUGGCUCACCAAGGCGACGAUGCGUAGCCGACCUGAGAGGGUGAUCGGCCACACUGGGACUGAGACACGGCCCAGACUCCUACGGGAGGCAGCAGUAGGGAAUCUUCCGCAAUGGACGAAAGUCUGACGGAGCAACGCCGCGUGAGUGAUGAAGGUUUUCGGAUCGUAAAGCUCUGUUGUUAGGGAAGAACAAGUGCGAGAGUAACUGCUCGCACCUUGACGGUACCUAACCAGAAAGCCACGGCUAACUACGUGCCAGCAGCCGCGGUAAUACGUAGGUGGCAAGCGUUGUCCGGAAUUAUUGGGCGUAAAGGGCUCGCAGGCGGUUUCUUAAGUCUGAUGUGAAAGCCCCCGGCUCAACCGGGGAGGGUCAUUGGAAACUGGGAAACUUGAGUGCAGAAGAGGAGAGUGGAAUUCCACGUGUAGCGGUGAAAUGCGUAGAGAUGUGGAGGAACACCAGUGGCGAAGGCGACUCUCUGGUCUGUAACUGACGCUGAGGAGCGAAAGCGUGGGGAGCGAACAGGAUUAGAUACCCUGGUAGUCCACGCCGUAAACGAUGAGUGCUAAGUGUUAGGGGGUUUCCGCCCCUUAGUGCUGCAGCUAACGCAUUAAGCACUCCGCCUGGGGAGUACGGUCGCAAGACUGAAACUCAAAGGAAUUGACGGGGGCCCGCACAAGCGGUGGAGCAUGUGGUUUAAUUCGAAGCAACGCGAAGAACCUUACCAGGUCUUGACAUCCUCUGACAACCCUAGAGAUAGGGCUUUCCCUUCGGGGACAGAGUGACAGGUGGUGCAUGGUUGUCGUCAGCUCGUGUCGUGAGAUGUUGGGUAGUCCCGCACGAGCGCACCAGAUCCUAGUGCAGCAUUCAGUGGGCACUCUAGUGACUGCGUACAAUGGAAGAGGGGGGGAAUGACGUCCAAUCAAUUCCAA
rnacentral:rRNA from 1 species